UACGUAGGGUGCAAGCGUUGUCCGGAAUUAUUGGGCGUAAAGAGCUCGUAGGCGGUCUGUCGCGUCUGCUGUGAAAAUCCAAGGCUCAACCCUGGACCUGCAGUGGGUACGGGCAGACUAGAGUGCGGUAGGGGAGAUCGGAAUUCCUGGUGUAGCGGUGAAAUGCGCAGAUAUCAGGAGGAACACCGGUGGCGAAGGCGGAUCUCUGGGCCGUAACUGACGCUGAGGAGCGAAAGCAUGGGGAGCGAACAGG
rnacentral:rRNA from 1 species